CCAUGAUAAUACCAACAACUAUACGAAGAUGGACAAAACCAGAAGCUGUUGCAAAAAAACUUCAUUAAUCAUCUUUAGUUUGUUAUCCAGUCAUUUGAUUUAUUUGAUUCUGAAGAUCAUAGAGAACAAGAGUAUUUAAAGACGAGUCUUCAUAGGUGCAGGGAGAUCACAUAUGUUGUGGACUUAUUUAUAGCUCAUGUAGCUGGAAUGGAUACACUUGCACACGGUCUUCAUAAUGCUACAAGGCUGACAGAGGAUGGUUAUAGUCAUUUAUCUAUGUUCUGCCAUGAUAAUCAUCAUCAUCAUCAUCGGCAAUAGCUGAGUGGAACCCAACAAUAAGCCAAAAAGAGCAUUGUUCACUUGAAAGUCAAGAAUUUCAUAUGUAUUAGUUACUGUAUAAUAUUCCCCCCAAUUCACAAGCAACUAUGUUAGAGCUUCAAUGGGACAGUCACAUGGAGUACCUCGUGAAAGGUCUUUGGCAUCUUGGACCUUCGUUUUCUAUAUUAAUUAAGAAGUAAUUUAAUUUGUUCUAUUAGGUACAAAGAAGAAGUCAAAUGAUCCUCAAAUUGUCGAGAUAUUCAGAAACUAGCAAGUGUUUGGGUGAUAUUCAUUAAGAUAAGAAGAUUAGCAACACUAUAGUCGGAACAGGGAGGAGCAGAAGAGACUAUAUUAGCCAGUGACGAGACAACUAUAAACGACUGUUGAAGGUUGCAACCUUAAACCUGGAAGAUUGGAGCAAGUUUGACAAAAUCACCUGCUGACUAGCCAUGUCUAUAAUCCUUCUUUUGUUUGGUUUUUUGUUAGUUUUGGCCCCCUUUGGGUUUUGUACUAUGUAGGCAUUAGCCGCUUGAUAAGUCUGCAUAUUUGUUUUCUUCUUUAAGUAAAUAAACGCAUGCUUUGGCUGGUAAAAAAACUAGCUUCAUUGGUUUUGUAACUUCGUUUGAUACGUUACGUACCCGCGAGUAGAGGGAUGAAUUUCGUUA